rnacentral:tRNA from 1 species
GGAUUGUGGCUCAGCGGUAGAGCACUCGUCUAGCACAGGCGGGACUUGGGUUCAAUCCUCAGCACCA